AUGGCGCAGCCGCAUCCGUCCUCGUCGUCCUCCGCGCAGCCGCUCUCCUCGCCGUGGGUCAUCCUAGGCAGCAUCCCGCGCGUCUCCGCACUGGCGGACGCCGGCGACGUCUCCGUCGAGCUGGCGGCGCCGCCGCGCGUCUCGAUCCUCACCGUCUCCCCGCGCGCCUUCCCGGACCCCCCUACGCCCCGCAACUUCCCCUUCGUCCUCGCCGCCGACCCCUCCGGCCUUCUCCUCCUCCAGGCCAACCUGCACUGCGCCCCGACCCGUGAGGUCAUCCGUCGCCCCGGCCUCCAGGAACUCUCCUGGAAAUUCGCUACUUCUCGCUACUUCGUGCUCGACGCCACCACCGGCUCGGCGUUCCACCUCCCCUACCCGGAGGCCACCAUCAUGCACCAGGCCCUCCUCGGCCUUCUCGUCUCCCCCAGGGGCGGCGGCCACUACAUGGUCGCGGAGCUCCAGCCCAUCAUCGGCUUGGACGAAGCCACGCUCCUCUGCUUCUCCACAGAGGUUGGGGAGUGGAUCGAGAAGACCGUCCAUUACCCGCUCCCGCCACGCCCGCUGGCUCCCAUCUGCGUGGUUUCGCAUCACGGGAGGCUCUGGUGGGUGGACCUCUCAUGGGGCGUCAUCACCUGCGACCCCUUCGCCGACGAGCCGGUCCUGGGCUUCGUUCCGUUCCCGCCGGGAAGGGUCCUGGAGUGCAGGGAAGGUUGGGGUGUCGCCGACAAGUUCCGUUACGUGGGGGUGAGCGGCGGCAAGCUGCGUUUCGUCGACAUGUACAUGGGCAAGCGUGCUGGUGCUGGUGCUGGUGGCGGCGGCACUCCCACUCCCACUCCCACGGUAAGCGUGUGGACGCUGGGCGAUCCAAACUCCAGGGAGUGGACGCUGGAGCAACAGGCGAGCUUUACAGAGAUCUGGGCCGAUGAGAGCUACAAGGCGGCCGGGCUGCCGGAGAAGAUCCCCAUCGUCGCGCUCAUUCACCCCAAGAACCCCGAUGUGGUCUACUUCUUCCUCGAGGAGCACCUCUUUGGUGUUGACAUGCGUGCUCGCAAGGUGAUGGAGUGCCAGGUGUAUGGUCUUGUUGCGCCUCCGAGCAUCCGCCUGGCCAGCCGCUUCGUUCGGGCUUGGGAGCUGCCACGGGCGCUCUCCUCCUCAGGCGAGUGGUCUAAUGGCAUCGACUUGGCUGAGAGCGCUAAUGCACGCCCAUACCAGCCAUCGCCAGGGGACUACCACUUGGUGGGGGACACCAGGCAGACAUUCAUAGGUUGA
rnacentral:rRNA from 1 species